GACGAACGCUGGCGGCGUGCUUAACACAUGCAAGUCGAACGGAAAGGCCCUGCUUGCAGGGUACUCGAGUGGCGAACGGGUGAGUAACACGUGGGGGAUCUGCCCUGCACUUCGGGAUAAGCUUGGGAAACUGGGUCUAAUACCGGAUAGGACCGCACUCUCGUGUGUGUGGUGGAACGUUUGUUCGGUUUGGGAUUAGCUCGCGGCCUAUCAGCUUGUUGGUGGGGUAAUGGCCUAGCAAGGCGGCGACGGGUAGCCGGCCUGAGAGGGUGUACGGCCAAAUUGGGAUUGGAAUACGGCCCAGCCUCGUACGGGAGGCGGAGUGGGAAAUAGUGCUCAAUGGGCGCAAGCCUGAUGCUGCGACAGCGCGUGGGGGAUGAAGGUCAAGGGGUUGUAGACGUAUUUCGCUAGUGACGAAGCUGUUUGUGACGGUACCUAGAUAAGAAGCACCGGCUAACUACGUG
rnacentral:rRNA from 1 species